ACAUCUUUAUUGUUUGGAUUUGAUCGAGUUCCAUCCAAAGACCAUUCAAGAUCCCGUAAUACUCUGUUACGGAAAGGGAGCCCUGUUUUGUAUUAAAUAUCCUGUUCUUGAUAUCAUAGGUAGCAGCAAGAUCCUUUUUUAAAGAAAAAGUACUUUGUAAAUCAUCCCAUAUUUCUUUUGCGGAAGAAUGAAACAUAUAAUUUUUUCUUACUUCUAGAGUCAUGGAUUGCCACAUCCAAGUCAUAAUUAAAGAAUCUUCUCUAUCCCACAUUGAAAAAUGUUUAUCAUCUGGUGCUGGUCCUCCUCCAUCUAUAUGAUCAAGUUUGGAGCGACUCUUGAGAAUCCUUAAAAUAAAUUGACUCCAUUGUAAGUAAUUCUGACCAUCCAACCACGAGGUACUUCCUAUAUUUGGUAAGUCAUUGGGUACCCUCAAAGAAAUACUCUUUUCUUCAGACAUCCCGUAUCCAAAAAAAAGGGCAAAAACUUCAAACUCAGAUCUACUCAAAUAAAGGCCAAAUGGGUCGUCACCAACCCAAGGAACAGAAUCAGGAGGCUCCGGCGACCCUUCUGCGGCAGCGACAGCGAGUGGGUUCCACCGAAAAAAGAGGAGCAAAACGUAAAGGUCAGAUCUACUCAAGUACAGCCCAAACUAGUCGUCACCGACCCUAGGAACGGACUCAGGGGGCUCCGGCGACCCUGUCUGUGGCGGCACCGGCGAGUGGGUCUCGCUGGAGGUGGGCGCGUGGGCUACACGCGCCGGCGACGGUGGUGGCGCGUGGCAGCUCCGUUCGAGGAGCGACUUCCGGUUCUGUGGUCGCCGGUGUUGGGCGCUCUGCCCUAUCAACGACCCUGACCGGCGACGGUAGCAGCGGCGGUGGUCGGACAGUGGCGGCGGUACGCUUCUUGCAGCGGAAUCUAGCCCCUAAGAUCAGGAGCUCUGACACCAAGUUGAAAAUGAGACUUAUUAUUAUUCUCAAAUCAUGAAAAAUACAUUCUCAAAUCUUCUAUUUGUAAUAAUCUAGUUCUCCUAAAAAGGGAAAUAGGGAAACUAGGAAACCUAGGGAAAAAUAAAAUAAAAUAAAAUAUUAUGUAUCUAUUUCCUCUAAUUAGGAAGAUUCUACAGAUAUUAUCCCAGAUUACAACACUUACUUAAUUACAUUAAUCAGAAUACUCAAUGGUACGAAUACUCAUACUCAGAAAUUAAUUCCUAGAAACAUUUGAGUUUAAAUGGAAGGCUCGAAAACUGCUAAGGAACAUGUAUUUCUACUCUCAAAUCACUUAAGAAAACUAUUCUAUAGCUGAUGCAUCUUUUAAGAGUCUUAUACUAUUCUAUAGCUGAUGCAUCUUUUUUUUAUCAUGUUGCUGUCAUUGUUUUGAAAUAAUUAAGUUUAAAAUUGUUAUUAUGUUUGCAAGUGAAGUGCUCAUGUUUAUAUUGCAGGAAACAAAGAACUUAAAUUUGUCCUUGCAUAUUAGAUUAAAUUACGUUAUCUACAUUUUACUCAUUUAAACUUGUCUCUCAGGGUAUCCUGACAUUUUGUUAAAUAAUUAGAUUUGUUGAUGGUUGUUAAAUAUUAGGUGAUAGCAGUAAUGCAGCAAAGAAGCAUGAUUUUCACUGGUUUAUGCAGAAGCUUAUACAUGUCCUUGCGUGAGGCUGCACCCAUUUGAUUCAAUUUUUGUUGCCCAGUCAAAUGGAAAUUAUGUUGCAAUCUUUACUUCCACCCCACCUUACAGGCUCAACAAAUAUAAGCGAUAUGAGGGCCAUGUGAUCUCUGGGUUCCCAAUCAAGUGCAAUUUCAGCUUGGAUGGGAAAAAACUUGCUUCUGGCUCUUCAGAUGGUUCUAUCUUCCUUUAUGAUUAUCAGUCAUCCAAAGUUGUGAAGAAAAUCAAGGCCCAUGAUCAAGCAUGCAUAGAUGUUGCAUUCCACCCCAUUAUACCUAAUGUUAUUGCUUCAUGCUCGUGGGAUGGAAGUAUUUUGGUAUUUGAGUAGUGAUACCUAUUAUCGUCCCAUUCCAGGGUAAUCUUUAAUUUUCUCAAAAGUCAAUGGGCAUGCAUUUGGUUACUUCUAGAAAAUGAUUUGCUAGGAGAGUGGAAAACUCUAGCUUUCUCUUAGUCUAGGCAGCUGUUUCUUGUUUAUUAGAUACCGUGUGAAUAAUGAAACCUCCCACAAGUCAAUGUUUUCUUAAAUGUGUGCCUUUUACUGUUA